CGGUCCAAAUGUCUAGAACCCGGUUCGACCGGACAAAACCGGUGAACCCGGAAACCGGCUAUUGACUCCGGUUUUUGUCUAAAACACUGCGUUGGAGGUGGCUGUUGGUGGCGGGAUUUGGGCGGAAUUCGACGGGGUGGCUGGAUCUAGGUGGUGUAGGCCGUGGGGGACCGGAAUUCGAUGAAUCUGGCCGUGGGUUGCCGGAAUUUGAUGAAUCUUGUCGUGGAUGACCGGAAUAAGUUGCGUGUGAGGGAGAAAAAAAAUAGACGAAGAAGAUGGAAAAGAGAUAAAUAGAAAAGGGAGAGAGAUGGUGGGGGGAGAUAUGCUGUGGUGUAGAGGAAAAACUUAAUUGUUGGUAACAACUGUAAGUUGAUUUUGUGGAGAUGAAAAGGGUGAUGAAGAUGAUGGG
rnacentral:lncRNA from 1 species